UACGUAGGGUGCAAGCGUUAAUCGGAAUUACUGGGCGUAAAGCGUGCGCAGGCGGUCUUGCAAGACAGAUGUGAAAUCCCCGGGCUUAACCUGGGAACUGCAUUUGUGACUGCAAGGCUGGAGUGCGGCAGAGGGGGAUGGAAUUCCGCGUGUAGCAGUGAAAUGCGUAGAUAUGCGGAGGAACACCGAUGGCGAAGGCAAUCCCCUGGGCCUGCACUGACGCCCAUGCACGAAAGCGUGGGGAGCAAACAGG
rnacentral:rRNA from 1 species